UACGAAGGGGGCGAGCGUUGUUCGGAAUUACUGGGCGUAAAGGGCGCGCAGGCGGUCCUUCAAGUCAGAUGUGAAAGCCCCGGGCUCAACCUGGGAACUGCAUUUGAGACUGGAGGACUUGAGGACGGGAGAGGAGAGUGGAAUUCCCAGUGUAGAGGUGAAAUUCGUAGAUAGUUGGGAAGAACACCGAUGGCGAAGGCAGCUCUCUGGACCGUUACUGACGCUGAGACGCGAAAGCGUGGGGAGCGAACAGG
rnacentral:rRNA from 1 species